CACAGAAAGGAUUGACAGAUUGACAGCGGUUUCUCGAUUCUGUGGGUGGCCGUUCUUAGCUGGUGGAGCGACUUGUCUGGUUAAUUCCGAUAACGAACGAGACUCUGGCAUGCUAACGAGUUAUGCGACCCCCCAGUGUUCCUUUUUAACCAGACUUUUGGUUGAUUUGAUUGACAUCCUAUGCCCUUUUAAAAUGUGGCUCUUUUGGGAGGGAGGGGUGUUAUUGGGUUUUUGUUUU